UUGCGUUCCCAUAUACAUGUAGUGCAUAUAUAGGAAAUUGCACCCAGGUCGCACCCUGAGUAGCGGUCCCAAGCACUCUAAGGGUAGGAAACUUCAACCAAGGGUCAAUCUCAGGCUCCUGCACUUGCAACCGAACCCCUUCCAGACUGACAACUAUGAUCAGGUGUUAUUGCUAGCUGCUUGAUGUACUAUUGGAUUGUCUGUUGCUACCAAAGUGGUGUUUGAGCCCACCAUCACCCUUUGCGUGAAACUCACAAUUUGGAUCAACAAUUGCUAAAUUAUGUUCAAACAUAUGGCAAUAGAAACCUGGGUCGGUUAACUUGUCUCUGCAAUGUCCUCACCGCGACAUUGCACAAGGAUGAGUUAAGGUGGACACCCCAACUGAUGAUGUAUCAAGUGAUACCAGAACAAAUGAUGUUUGAGAUCUUUGACACUGACCUGUGUACUACAAAACUCUUAUGCUAGAAUUGUUGUCUUUGUGAAAAGGCCUCCUUAUUAAUGGUUUUUCCUUUUCCAAUAACAAGAGGGGAAUAAGAUGUAGGGAUUGGAAUUUGGAAUUUAGACAUCAGAAGCCUAAAAGCAAAAAAAAAAAAACAAGACAAAAUGGCUUAUGAGAAAUUCCAUAACUGGCUGAAGAGUCUGGGGCCCAUAUUGAUGGUCGUGCGACAAUACAAAUGGAGUAUGGCAUGGAUGUGAGUGAGUAUUUUGUUAAAAAUUGGAGACAAGCCCUGGAUUUGGGGAACAUUGAACGUACUAUUGCUUGGAGCCUGUCUAGAUAUGGGACUGUAAACAGAUUGUCGAAUAACUUCCACAGAAUAUAUGUUUAAUCUCAAUUUGCAUAUGCCUAGUAAUUAGCACUAUUGAUAAUUGAAUAUUGAAGACCGUAGGCUUAUAUACAAAUAACUCAGGGAACAAUGAAUGGACUGCCAUUACAACUUUACAAUGAUUAACAUUUAUGUGUUUUUAUCAAUUGUUACAUGCAUAUAAUCACAUGACAAUGUAUAGACAAAUAUAUUUUCUACAUGCUUAACAAUCAACAGACAAUUCAAAGACAGCUCUUGCUUUUUGUAUAAGAUAAAACCGGAGUUAUUAUAAAAUAGAAAGCAUGCAUCCCCAACUUAAAUUGAGCUCUAUAUUCUUUAUUUCAAUGCAUGGCAUAAGAAAUGGCUCAUUAUUCUAGGCUGAGCACUGUUUAAAUUUUCAUCUCAGAGUGUGUGAACAUAAGAUGCCAUGUGAUUUUUGUGACCUCCUGUUUAGAAGUGAUUCCCAAUUUGUCAUAUGUUGUAAGUUCUCCUUUAUAUGACCUACUGGCAUUAUGGGUCAAGUUGCAGAUUUGUAUUGCAGCUAUCAACUUUGUUUCAUAGAUGUCCAACCGUUGAAGAACUGUUUUAGGAUCAAAAGAUUCUCCCAUAAUUAAGGCCAUCAUGCAUGAGUGUUUGUAAUUGCAGGAAUUGACAUCAUCCCUGCUGUGAAGUGAAAAAUUUUAGUUGCAAUUAAUUGGACAUCUAGAAACCUGCAUGUGAUGAUUUAUUUACCAAGUGUUUCUA
rnacentral:lncRNA from 1 species